AUUGAACGCUGGCGGCAGGCCUAACACAUGCAAGUCGAACGAGUGGCGGACGUGAGAGUAAUGUCUGGGACACUGCCUGAUGGAGGGGGAUAACUACUGGAAACGGUAGCUAAUACCGCAUACCAUCGGAUGUGCCCAGAUGGGAUUAGCUAGUAGGGGGGGUAAAGGCUCACCUAGGCGACGAUCCCUAGCUGGUCUGAGAGGAUGACCAGCCACACUGGAGCUGAGACACGGACCAGACUCCUACGGGAGGCAGCAGUGGGGAAUAUUGCACAAUGGGCGCAAGCCUGAUGCAGCCAUGCCGCGUGUAGGAAGAAGGCCUUCGGGUUGUAAAGUACUUUCAGCGGGGAGGCGUUACCCGCAGAAGAAGCACCGGCUAACUCCGUGCCAGCCGCCGCGGUAAUUC
rnacentral:rRNA from 1 species